GGGGAAUUUUCCGCAAUGGGCGCAAGCCUGACGGAGCAAUACCGCGUGAGGGAAGACGGCCUAUGGGUUGUAAACCUCUUUUGUCAAGGAGGAAGUUCUGACGUUACUUGACGAAUAAGCAUCGGCUAACUCCGUGCCAGCAGCCGCGGUAAUACGGAGGAUGCAAGUGUUAUCCGGAUUCACUGGGCGUAAAGCGUCUGUAGGUGGCUUAAAAAGUCUGCUGUUAAAGGUCGAAGCUCAACUUCGAAAAUGCCGUGGAAACUUUUAGGCUUGAGCAUGAUAGGGGUAAAGGGAAUUUCCAGUGGAGCGGUGAAAUGCGUAGAUAUUGGAAAGACCACCGAUGGCGAAGGCACUUUACUGGGUCAUUGCUGACACUGAGAGACGAAAGCUAAGGGAGCGAAUGGGAUUAGAUACCCCAGUAGUC
rnacentral:rRNA from 1 species